UACGUAGGGGGCUAGCGUUGUCCGGAAUCAUUGGGCGUAAAGCGCGUGUAGGCGGUCCGGUAAGUCCGCUGUGAAAGUCGGGGGCUCAACCCUCGAAUGCCGGUGGAUACUGUCGGGCUAGAGUGCGGAAGAGGCGAGUGGAAUUCCUGGUGUAGCGGUGAAAUGCGUAGAGAUCGGAAAGAACACCAACGGCGAAAGCACUCUGCUGGGCCGACACUGACACUGAGAGACGAAAGCUAGGGGAGCGAAUGGG
rnacentral:rRNA from 1 species